rnacentral:rRNA from 1 species
UACGUAGGGUGCAAGCGUUAAUCGGAAUUACUGGGCGUAAAGCGUGCGCAGGCGGUUUUGUAAGUCUGUCGUGAAAUCCCCGGGCUUAACCUGGGAAUGGCGAUGGAGACUGCAAGGCUAGAGUUUGGCAGAGGGGGGUAGAAUUCCACGUGUAGCAGUGAAAUGCGUAGAUAUGUGGAGGAACACCGAUGGCGAAGGCAGCCCCCUGGGUCAAAACUGACGCUCAUGCACGAAAGCGUGGGGAGCAAACAGG